rnacentral:misc_RNA from 1 species
GAUGAAGAACGUAGCGAAAUGCGAUAAGUAAUGUGAAUUGCAGAAUUCAGUGAAUCAUCGAAUCUUUGAACGCACAUUGCGCCCGCCAGUAUUCUGGCGGGCAUGCCUGUUCGAGCGUCAUUUCAACCCUCAAGCCCCCGGGCUUGGUGUUGGGGAUCGGCGUGCCCUCGCGGCGCGCCGUCCCCUAAAUCUAGUGGCGGUCUCGCUGUAGCUUCCUUUGCGUAGUAGCAACACUCGCACUGGAUCGCAGCGCGGCCACGCCGUUAAACCCCCCACUUCUGAAAGUUUGACCUCGGAUCAGGUAGGAAUACCCGCUGAACUUAAGCAUAUCAAUAAGAGGA